rnacentral:rRNA from 1 species
GAUGAACGCUGGCGGCGUGCCUAAUACAUGCAAGUCGAGCGAACAGACGAGGAGCUUGCUCCUCUGACGUUAGCGGCGGACGGGUGAGUAACACGUGGAUACCCUACCUAUAAGUCUGGGAUCACUUCGGGAAACCGGAGCUAAUACCGGAUAACCUGUUGAACCGCAUGGUUCAACAGUGAAAGACGGUCUUGCUGUCUCUUCUAGCUGGAUCCGCGCCGCAUUAGCUAGUUGGUAAGGUAACGGCUUACCAAGGCAACGAUGCGUAGCCGACCUGAGAGGGUGAUCGGCCACACUGGAACUGAGACACGGUCCAGACUCCUACGGGAGGCAGCAGUAGGGAAUCGGCCGCAAUGGGCGAAAGCCUGACGGAGCAACGCCGCGUGAGUGAAGAAGGUCUUCGGAUCGUAAAACUCUGUUAUUAGGGAAGAACAAAUGUGUAAGUAACUAUGCACGUCUUGACGGUACCUAAUCAGAAAGCCACGGCUAACUACGUG